UGGGGAAUAUUGCACAAUGGGGGAAACCCUGAUGCAGCGACGCCGCGUGAGCGAAGAAGGUUUUCGAAUCGUAAAGCUCUGUCCUAUGAGAAGAUAAUGACGGUAUCAUAGGAGGAAGCCCCGGCUAAAUACGUGCCAGCAGCCGCGGUAAUACGUAUGGGGCGAGCGUUGUCCGGAAUUAUUGGGCGUAAAGGGUACGUAGGCGGUCUAUUAAGUCAGGUGUGAAAGCGUGAGGCUUAACCUCAUUAAGCACUUGAAACUGAUAGACUUGAGUGAAGGAGAGGAAAGUGGAAUUCCUAGUGUAGCGGUGAAAUGCGUAGAUAUUAGGAGGAAUACCGGUGGCGAAGGCGACUUUCUGGACUUUUACUGACGCUCAGGAACGAAAGCGUGGGUAGCAAACAGG
rnacentral:rRNA from 1 species